UCCCAAAGUGCUGGGAUUACAGGUGUGAGCCACUGUGCCUGCCAAGGGUGGUUAGGUUUGAAGGGGAUGAGGAGGGGUGAGUGACUUGUAGCAAUGGAUGGGAAGGUGGUGUCCUGCACCUUAGGGUUAAGGUAGGGGGACAUAAGGGGAGCUGUUGAAGGAGGUAUGGGUUUGGGGAGGAGGGUAGCAAGGAGGUGUGGCUUUAGCCCAGGAAUAGUGGAGGAGGCAGACAAUUUUGCUAGGAUAUCUGGGCCUGACAGGGGAACUGGACAAGUGGGGAUGAUUAGGAAGGAAUGUGGAAAGGAGUGCCAGCCU